UGCCCAGGUGCGCCAACCGGAAGAGCGACUCGGUUUAAACCCGAGAGGAUGCAGGUUCGAUCCCUGCUCUGGGUAU
rnacentral:tRNA from 1 species